rfam:Papio anubis isolate 1X1155 chromosome 13, whole genome shotgun sequence.
GUCACUUGGGGAUCUUGUUAAAAUGCAGAGCCUGAUUCAGUAGGUCUGGGGUGGGACCUAAGAUUCUGCAUUUCUAACAAGUACCUAAGUAUUGGCAA